rnacentral:rRNA from 1 species
UAGGGAAUCUUCGGCAAUGGGGGCAACCCUGACCGAGCAACGCCGCGUGAGUGAAGAAGGUUUUCGGAUCGUAAAGCUCUGUUGUAAGAGAAGAACGUGCGUGAGAGUGGAAAGUUCACACAGUGACGGUAACUUACCAGAAAGGGACGGCUAACUACGUGCCAGCAGCCGCGGUAAUACGUAGGUCCCGAGCGUUGUCCGGAUUUAUUGGGCGUAAAGUGAGCGCAGGCGGUUUAAUAAGUCUGAAGUUAAAGGCAGUGGCUUAACCAUUGUUCGCUUUGGAAACUGUUAGACUUGAGUGCAGAAGGGGAGAGUGGAAUUCCAUGUGUAGCGGUGAAAUGCGUAGAUAUAUGGAGGAACACCGGUGGCGGAAGCGGCUCUCUGGUCUGUAACUGACGCUGAGGCUCGAAAGCGUGGGGUGCAAACAGG